rnacentral:rRNA from 1 species
AUGAACGCUAGCGGCAGGCUUAAUACAUGCAAGUCGAGGGGCAGCACGAAUAGCAAUUAUUUGGUGGCGACCGGCGCACGGGUGCGUAACACGUAUACAACCUACCUAUAACAAGGGGAUAGCCUUUCGAAAGAGAGAUUAAUACCCCGUAAUAAAUUGAAUGGCAUCAUUUGAUUUUGAAAGCUACGGCGGUUAUAGAUGGGUAUGCGUCUGAUUAGCUAGUUGGUGAGGUAAUGGCUCACCAAGGCGACGAUCAGUAGGGGAUCUGAGAGGACUAACCCCCACACUGGUACUGAGACACGGACCAGACUCCUACGGGAGGCAGCAGUAAGGAAUAUUGGUCAAUGGAGGCAACUCUGAACCAGCCAUGCCGCGUGCAGGAUGACGGCCCUAUGGGUUGUAAACUGCUUUUGUACCAGAGAAGACCUAUCUACGUAUAGAUAGCUGAUAGUAUGGUAAGAAUAAGCAUCGGCUAACUUCGUG